CUGGAUUUGUAGUGUGAAGACUCUGACCAAAUAAUAUAACUUGAGUUUUACUUUGAUUAAGGUGAAGAAAGUUUUAUUUCAUCCCUCCUG